GAGACCUGGGUUUGAUCCCUGGGUUGGGAAGAUCCCUUGAAGGAAACUGCAUUUUAUAGGCAGGGAAAUGAGGCCAGAUCUGGAAUAGGACUAAAGUGCUUUGUUCUGUUUAAUUUUGCCUACUUGAAUAAUGCUUUUAAACUUCAGCGUAUAAAGUCAUAUGUUGGAAUACACAAAUUCAUGCAAAGCACUGGGUGGGAAACAGUACACUUUUUCCAUCUACUCUGAUCCCAGAAAGGUGGCUUUUAGGCUCACUGGCCUUGACAUCCACACUUGAAAAAGAAGUGGACAAUCUGGCUUGAACAACAACCAAAUUUUGAAAAUGAAAGGCACUGUCCUAGUUAAAGUGCCAUCUAGACACUAGAUCCUGGGGUGACUUUGGGCCGGUUUGUUUCUGGACCAAAGAAGGAUUGCUCAGUCAGGGAAGUCAGCCAGUGGGGGCAGUCAGUGAACAGAUCUGAAAGGCCCUGGCAGGCAUUUUAGAAAGAUCCGUGAGGACAAAGCGUAUUACCUGCCAUUUUAGUAAACAAAGGAUGUUGCACCCUAAAGCUGUCACCCACUGCAGGGCUCCUGACAAUGUACCCAUGGGGAUUCAAUAUGGAGAAAAACAGGAUACUGACCCUAAAAUAGUUUAGGUGCAUAUUGAAGGAACGAUUUCAGUCAGCCCAAACUCUAACAUCUUCCCCAACAUAGAAAAGCACUAAAAUCAUCCGAGAUAUGUUUUGUGAUUAGCAGUAAUCAACUCAUAUAUACCCUGGCUCUUCCAUUACCUCUUUGGAUGAGUCCCUCAGAGCUGAAAGGCUGUCUCCCAGGCUUAAGUCCUCAGAAUAAAACAUAAUGCUCAAUUUUCACGUUGUGCUUCUUUUUUUUUCAGUUGAUAUCUGCUUACCUAACCUUGUUUCAGUUCAGUUCAGUUCAGUUGGCGACUUUCACAUAUAUAAAUUUACAGGGUUUUUGUUUUGUUUUGUUUUGGCUUCGAGGAGCCAGCUUUGCAGACUGGAGCUCUCAGGGUUUAGGUGCUGGCAGAGCUACAUUAACAGAGGAGCCUGGUGGGCUACAGUCCAUGGGGUAGCAAGAGAGUCUGACGCGACAUAGUGACUAAACAACAGCAAGAGCUCCAUCAGAGUCCGAGAUGAGGUCACAGUCGCAAAUGUCCCUUGAGUCCCCACCAGCUUCAUGGUCCCUUGCCCUUGUUUCCAGCACUCAAUCCCGCCAUGACUCGCUCACGGAAGCUCCUCCAUGGUGCCACAGCAUCCUAAGGCCAGGACUCCUUAAUAGGAUACUUGUGGACACUUUCCUGAGUUUCCUAAGGGCAACCCAUUGAACAUCCAGGAAUAUGACCAUUCUUCCAUCACCGUCCAUCUCUUCCUAAGUCCGUACUCGUCCUCAGAGAGUCUUGUCCAGACAGAACCUAAAGACUUUCCCAGACCGGCGUGGGAUCUGGCAGGUUAUUUGCCCCAUAGGCAUCCCUCACAGAGCUCCUUAGAGCCGGGUUCAUAAGACAGUGUUGUUAACUCUAGUCACCAAGCUGUCCAUUUGAUCCCCAGAAGUUAUUCUAACUGGAAGUUUGUACCCUUUGACCAACAUCUCUCCUUGUCUUCCACCUCCAAACCUCUGGCNNNNNNNNNNNNNNNNNNNNNNNNNNNNNNNNNNNNNNNNNNNNNNNNNNNNNNNNNNNNNNNNNNNNNNNNNNNNNNNNNNNNNNNNNNNNNNNNNNNCUUGUCUUCCACCUCCAAACCUCUGGCAACUACCAUUCUUUCCUGUUUCUAUGAGUUCAGCUCUUUUAGAUUCCACAUGUAAGUAAGAACAUACAGUAUUUAUCUUUCUCUGGCUUAUUUCACUAAGCGUAAUGCCCUCUAGGCACAUCCAUCUUGUCGAAGAUUUCAAAAGUUCAUUCCUUUUUCAUGGGUAAAUUGUUUCUUAAAAAAAUUUUAUAUUGAAGUAUAGUUGAUUUACAAUGUUAUGUUAGUUUCAGGUGUACAGUGAUUCAGCUAUGCAUAUACAUAUAUCUAUUAUUUUUCAGUUUCUUUCUCCACAAGGUUAUUUCAGAAUAUUGAGUAGAGUUCCCUGUACUAUACAGAAGGCCCUUGUUGAUUAUCCAUUUUAUAGAUAGUAGUGUGUGUAUAUUCAGAGAAGGUGAUACUCUUGCCUGGAAAAUCCCAUGGGUGGCGGAGCCUGGUAGGCUGCAGU
rnacentral:lncRNA from 1 species